AGGAUUGAAAGUGGUUCACUGGGGAGACUGAUGAAGACUUCUUGACUAGAGGAAGGAUUGUCAUGCUGCUCUGUGAACAUGUUCAAAGAGGCUUUAUCUUCAAGAAAUAGUCAGUGAUAUUCAAGCUAAGAGGAUACUGCUGAUUGAGAAACACUGAAGAUAAAUUCCUGAUACUACUAAGGUAUUGAUCCCAAGAGCACUCCCUAGUACAGCCCUGGAAAGCAGUUGUGACUCAGCCCUCUGUGUUCCACACAGACAAGAAGCAGAAAAUUGUGUCACGUUAAAGAACAAGCCCUGAAGGUAUAUGCAGGUGUUUUACUAUCUGGAGGGACGUGAAGAAUGAGAAGUAAAACCUGAGGUCCCACCUAUAGAUUUUGGUAUCAACUGUAUCAGAAGCGUAGUGUGGCUGCUUAAUAAGUAAGUUAAUACAUGGAUUGAUUACUCCGGACCUUGGACCAGAGGC